rnacentral:tRNA from 1 species
GGGGAUUUAGCUCAGCGGUAGAGCGCUUGCCCAGCAAGUGCAAGGCCCUGGGUUCGGUCCCCAGCUCCA